GGCUGGCUCAGUUGGUUAGAGCAUGGUGCUGAUGACGCCAUGGUCACAGGUUCAGUUCCCAUGUGGGACA